rnacentral:rRNA from 1 species
CGAACGGGUGAGUAAUACAUCGGAACGUGUCGAGAAGAGGGGGAUAACCACCCGAAAGGGUGGCUAAUACCGCAUAAAUUCUGAGGAAGAAAGCUGGGGACCUGGGAAUAGGCCUAGCGCUUUUUGAGCGGCCGAUGUCGGAUUAGCUAGUUGGUGAGGUAAAGGCUCACCAAGGCGAAGAUCUGUAGCGGGUCUGAGAGGAUGAUCCGCCACACUGGGACUGAGACACGGCCCAG